UGACCGCUGGCGGCGUGCCUAAUACAUGCAAGUCGAGCGAACAGACGAGGAGCUUGCUCCUCUGACGUUAGCAGCGGACGGGUGAGUAACACGUGGAUAACCUACCUAUAAGACUGGGAUAACUUCGGGAAACCGGAGCUAAUACCGGAUAAUAUAUUGAACCGCAUGGUUCAAUAGUGAAAGACGGUUUUGCUGUCACUUAUAGAUGGAUCCGCGCCGCAUUAGCUAGUUGGUAAGGUAACGGCUUACCAAGGCAACGAUGCGUAGCCGACCUGAGAGGGUGAUCGGCCACACUGGAACUGAGACACGGUCCAGACUCCUACGGGAGGCAGCAGUAGGGAAUCUUCCGCAAUGGGCGAAAGCCUGACGGAGCAACGCCGCGUGAGUGAUGAAGGUCUUCGGAUCGUAAAACUCUGUUAUUAGGGAAGAACAAAUGUGUAAGUAACUAUGCACGUCUUGACGGUACCUAAUCAGAAAGCCACGGCUAACUACGUG
rnacentral:rRNA from 1 species